GGUAUGGCGCGCCCGGUCGAUAGCUCUGCUAUUAGUACUGGUGUGUGCCUGCCAUCCUUCUAGUUAACCAGACGCAUUUAACCGUGCGGCUGGCGAUCUAGAUCUUUUACUUUGAAAAAAUUAGAGUGUUUAAAGCAGGCUUGCGCUAUGAAUACAUUAGCAUGGAAUAAUAAUUUAGGACUUCAUUCCUAUUUUAUUGGUUUCUAGGUUUGAAGUA
rnacentral:rRNA from 1 species